rnacentral:rRNA from 1 species
GUGAGGAAUAUUGGUCAAUGGGCGCAGGCCUGAACCAGCCAAGUAGCGUGAAGGAUGACUGCCCUAUGGGUUGUAAACUUCUUUUAGAAGGGAAUAAAGUGGAGUAUGUAUACUCCUUUGUAUGUACCUUCUGAAUAAGGAUCGGCUAACUCCGUGCCAGCAGCCGCGGUAAUACGGAGGAUCCGAGCGUUAUCCGGAUUUAUUGGGUUUAAAGGGAGCGUAGGCGGAUGUUUAAGUCAGUUGUGAAAGUUUAAGGCUCAACCUUGAAAUUGCAGUUGAUACUGGAUGUCUUGAGUGCAUUGAAUGUGGGCGGAAUUCGUGGUGUAGCGGUGAAAUGCUUAGAUAUCACGAAGAACUCCGAUUGCGAAGGCAGCUCACAGUGAUGUAACUGACGCUGAUGCUCGAAAGUGUGGGUAUCAAACAGGAUUAGAAACCCCUGUAGUCC